rnacentral:rRNA from 1 species
UGGAAACGGUAGCUAAUACCGCAUAACGUCGCAAGACCAAAGAGGGGGACCUUCGGGCCUCUUGCCAUCAGAUGUGCCCAGAUGGGAUUAGCUAGUAGGCGGGGUAAUGGCCCACCUAGGCGACGAUCCCUAGCUGGUCUGAGAGGAUGACCAGCCACACUGGAACUGAGACACGGUCCAGACUCUUACGGGAGGCAGCAGUGGGGAAUAUUGCACAAUGGGCGCAAGCCUGAUGCAGCCAUGCCGCGUGUGUGAAGAAGGCCUUCGGGUUGUAAAGCACUUUCAGCGGGGAGGAAGGCGGUACGGUUAAUAACCGUGCUGAUUGACGUUACCCGCAGAAGAAGCACCGGCUAACUCCGUGCCAGCAGCCGCGGUAAUACGGAGGGUGCAAGCGUUAAUCGGAAUUACUGGGCGUAAAGCGCACGCAGGCGGUCUGUCAAGUCGGAUGUGAAAUCCCCGGGCUCAACCUGGGAACUGCAUUCGAAACUGGCAGGCUGGAGUCUCGUAGAGGGAGGUAGAAUUCCAGGUGUAGCGGUGAAAUGCGUAGAGAUCUGGAGGAANACCGGUGGCGAAGGCGGCCUCCUGGA